rnacentral:rRNA from 1 species
UACGGGGGGGGCAAGCGUUGUUCGGAAUUACUGGGCGUAAAGGGCUCGUAGGCGGCCAACUAAGUCGGACGUGAAAUCCCUCGGCUUAACCGGGGAACUGCGUCUGAUACUGGAUGGCUUGAGGUUGGGAGAGGGAUGCGGAAUUCCAGGUGUAGCGGUGAAAUGCGUAGAUAUCUGGAGGAACACCGGUGGCGAAGGCGGCAUCCUGGACCAAUGCUGACGCUGAGGAGCGAAAGCCAGGGGAGCAAACGGG